rnacentral:rRNA from 1 species
UACGGAGGGAGCUAGCGUUGUUCGGAAUUACUGGGCGUAAAGCGUGCGCAGGCGGCGCCGCAAGUCGAGUGUGAAAUCCCCGAGCUUAACUUGGGAAUUGCGCUCGAAACUACGGUGCUGGAGUGUGGCAGAGGGAGGUGGAAUUCCACGUGUAGCGGUGAAAUGCGUAGAUAUCGGAAGGAACAUCAGUGGCGAAGGCGACCUCCUGGACCAAUACUGACACUCAAGUGCGAAAGCGUGGGGAGCAAACAGG